rnacentral:tRNA from 1 species
GCCGUGUUAGCUCAGUUGGUAGAGCAGCCGCCUUGUAAGCGGCAGGUCGUCAGUUCAAAUCUGACACACGGCUCCA